rnacentral:rRNA from 1 species
AUUGAACGCUGGCGGCAUGCCUUACACAUGCAAGUCGAACGGCAGCGGACCUUCGGGUGCCGGCGAGUGGCGAACGGGUGAGUAAUAUAUCGGAACGUACCUUUCAGUGGGGGAUAACGUAGCGAAAGUUACGCUAAUACCGCAUAUUCUGUGAGCAGGAAAGCAGGGGAUCGCAAGACCUUGCGCUGAUUGAGCGGCCGAUAUCAGAUUAGCUAGUUGGUGAGGUAAAGGCUCACCAAGGCGACGAUCUGUAGCGGGUCUGAGAGGAUGAUCCGCCACACUGGAACUGAGACACGGUCCAGACUCCUACGGGAGGCAGCAGUGGGGAAUUCUGGACAAUGGGCGCAAGUCUGAUCCAGCCAUGCCGCGUGAGUGAAGAAGGCCUCGGUUGUAAG